UCACUCCUUCAUCGCCCAUUAAUUCAUUCAAAUAUGCUAACCCAAGUCUUUGUCUCUGUUUUUUUCCAGAAAUACAGGCUACAAAAAUGUUUGUUAUUUAUAGAUUUACCAUUGUUAGACAAUGUAUGGCACUGUGUAUGGUGCUUGGCUUACCUCUUUCCAUGUUUAAAAAAUGGAGAUGAGCAUGGUGAUCUGGUUGCUCGCAGCGGCUCUCUCUGUAGCCUUUUUCUUUAAAAGUAAAAGGCGUAAUGGAUCCACCACAAGAAGCGCCACUGUAAACAAUCUCAGUGUAUGUCAUUCUUAAGGUUGUAGAUGUUAAAAGACAAAUAGAGCAACUUCAAAGGUCUUAUCCAUCAGCUACUAAUUUAUCAAGGCAAUGUGUUGAAGGAUGACACCACCUUGGAGGAAAACAAAGUCACAGAGAAUAAUUUCCUCAUUGUUAUGUUAUGACUAAUUCCUUAACACCUAGAGGGCCAUCUGCAUAGGUAUUUUUCAAUUCAAGAAAGUUUUCUCUUAACUGGCCUCAGCAACUGCUCCUACCUGGACACCAAUUCCCUUCACAACAAUGAGUGAAGAUAUCAAAGAGGCAUCAUUCAUUUCAAAAAUUAAAGAAUCUGAAAGAGCUACAUGUCGAGUCACGAAGGUUAUAUGCUUGCUAGACCAAAGCAUGUGUACAGAAUUGUGUAGUAUAUGAUUAUUCACUAUGGACAAGACUUUAUGAGGAAACACAACUAUAUUGCUGUAUGCAUAAGGUUCCUGUAUGUGGAGAUUGCAUCUGCUUUCCUGAACACAAUGCUUGUGAGGUGAGGACAUAUGCAGAGUGGAUGGUUGAUUCCAGUUGCAGUUUCCUACCAAAAUGUACCUUUUGCUUGCAGAUACUGACUCAUUCAAGUCGCUUUGUCACUCGGCUCGGCUGCUUACAUGUUUUGCAUAAUUCGUGCUUGCUUCUACUUUUGAAAGGAUCCUCAUCUCGAACUGGUUACACAUGUCCUUCAUGCAAAUCACAAUAGGGAUAGUAUCAACACUCCUUUCCUUUUCACGAGUGUGGGGCGAAACUAUGGUGACUACUCACUACAAGGAGAUUGGACAAGAUACGAGAGCCUUUGUUACGAGAGCCUUUGUUCCAUAGAGUUGCAAGAUAAUUCAUUUUGUUAGGUUCGAUGUGGUGUAGAUUCCAGUCAGGAUUGUUAUCAUUGUAGCCCUCAAUAAUAUGUAUUCUUUGUAUGUGUAGAUAUUAAGAAAUACAAUGAUAUUUUAUUUCUACCAGUUA